GGCACUGUGGCUCAAAUGGUAGAGCAUUAGCCUUGAACUGAAGAGUUAAAGGACAGUGCCC
rnacentral:tRNA from 1 species